GCCGGGGCCACCGCUGGAUGUUUACCGUAAACACGGGGGGGCGGGGGGCUGGAUGGGGGGGGGGAGAGGCCUGGUGUGGGAGUCAGGCCCGGCGGCCGCUCUCACCGAGCGAACCACCGCACCGCUCUCACCGGGCGGCCGGUGAGAGCGGUGCGGUGGGCCGCAGAACCGGGUGUCGAGUGAGGCCUGCCGCACGCGCACGGCGUUCCCACCCUGGGCUCGUGUUCUCGGCCGGCGGUGCCGCGCGCGUGGGGGGUUACCGCUGAUUGCAGCGGCUAUCUCGGUGCAGAGACGCGUGUGGGUUCACGUUAGAGACUGUGUGUGUGUGUGGCUUCACGUUAGAGUGUGUGUGUGUGGGUUCACGUUAGCGUGUGUGUGUGUGGCUUCACGUUAGAGAGUGUGUGUGUGUGGGUUCACGCUAGAGAGUGUGUGUGUGGGUUCACGUUAGAGAGUGUGUGUGUGUGUGUGGAUUCACGUUAGAGAGUGUGUGUGUGUGGGUUCACGUUAGAGAGUGUGUGUGUGUGUGUGGGUUCACGUUAUCGAGAGUGUGUGGGUUCACGUUAGAGAGUGUGUUUGUGUGGGUUCGCAUUAGGGAGAGUGUUUGUGUGGGUUCGUGUUAGAGAGUGUGUGUGUGGGGGUUCGCAUUAGAGAGUGUGUGUUUGUGAGUUCGCAUUAGAGAGUGUGUGUUUGUGAGUUCACGUUAUAGAGAGUGUUUGUGUGUGGGUUCGCAUUAGGGAGUGUGUGUGUGGGGGUUCGCAUUAGAGAGUGUGUGUGUGUGGGUUCGCAUUAGGGAGUGUGUUUGUGGGUUCACGUUAUAGAGAGUGUGUGUGUGUGGGUUCGCAUUAGGGAGUGUGUGUGUGUGGGUUCGUGUUAGAGAGUGUGUGUGUGUGUGUUUGCGUACCGGCUGCACUCGCUGUUGUGGAGGUGAUUUUCUGACCAUUAACUGUUUCUCGUCCCCUUUUCUGCCGUUGCGACACUGCCACCCGGGACGACUCUUCUCCUCUCCAACCUCAGUUUACGGCGCUGCACUGGGCGGCGAAGCACGGCAGCGUGGAGACGGCGACGCUGGUGGCGGAGGCCGGGGUGGACGUGAACGCUCGCUCGGUCGGUCGGCUGUGAGAGGGCUUUCUCUCUGCAAAACAACAUCAAGCCCGAGGAGUGGUUGCUCCUCUCGUGCAAGCAGUUGAACGCGCUUAUAGUUUGCGCCCGCGACAAGCCAAAACUCAGCAUCUUUUACGCCGAAGACGACAUGAAGCGCUGGAAGAAUGCGAAGAAGUGAAAGUACAUGUGCUCGUAAUCACGGCUCCGCAUUUGAAUAAAGUAUGUGGUUCUUGUGCGGAAAUGCGGAAAUCAUAUAUUCAUUCCAAUCAGUAACUCAAAGCCCUACCUGAUGCUGGGCCUUGCAUGUAUCCUUUCCAAUAGAACGCAUUAACGUGUUGUUAAAAGCGCGCGGUCAUAGGAGUAGUCUUUCCACCGUUUGCGGUUGACUUUAGCAAAAAUGCGGGAAAAUUUGAACACUCCUUCCGCAUUUUCCAUGCGGAAAUCGCAACCCUGGUACGAACUCACCCCGUCACUCUGUUAGUGGCCCCUGUCCUUAGACCGACGUACCAUUGUGCUGGGAGUGACGUUGUGACGUUGAACUGGGGGUGACGUUGUCCCCGGGGGUGACGUGACGUUGGUCCUGGGGGUGACAGUGACGUGCUGGAGGUGACGUGAUGUUGUGCUGGAGGUGAGGUUAUGACGAUCUGGGGGUGACGUUGUUCCGGGAGUGAUGUAACGUUGGUCCUGGAGGUGACAGUGACGUCCCGGGGGUGACGUAACAUUGUGCUGGGGGUGACGUAACAUUGAGCUGGGGGUGAGGUUAUGACGAUCUGGGGGUGACGUUGUCCCGGGGGCGAGCAUCGUGGAGGGCCUUGGGUGACGCCGUCCCGCGGCGACGCGAGAGACGUUGGCGGGGCCCCCACGCCGCCGGGCAAUCGCUGCCGGCCGUCCUCAUCUCACGAGCACGUCAGCCUCGACUUGAAAGUCUUUCUUGCUUGUUCUCUUGCUCUCUCUCUCUCAUUGACGAGCGGCAAGCGUUGCCCGGCCGGCGAAGGCCCCCCCCCCCCCCCCCCGUGUUGUUUGUGUGUUUGCGCUCGCGUUUUGUAAAUAGAGAACUCUCCGCGGAGAUGCGACGGCUCCGCCGCCGGGAGCCGCCAGCCCCACGUUCCCCGCGAUGUUUAUGUGCUCGGGUUAAUUUGUUUAAACGCCGCGCGUUCGUGCGUUCGUCGGAGGGAGGCAGUGGGGUGGAGGGCGGGGGGGAGCUUGAAGGCGGGGGGGGGUGGAGGGUGAUUUCUCUGGUGCGUGUGGGUCUCUGUGUGUUCCUUCCCCGGGCAGGUGUCUGUGUGUGUGUGUCUUUUGUUUUUUGUGCCUGUGUGUCUAAACUAAAACCGAACUAUAUUUUAUUAUACCAGGUAAGACCCACUGAGCUUAUGUAGCUCUCUUUCAAAAGCGACCUGGCCACAAAUGAUAGCUUAACGAAGUGGCUUAUCAUCGUCUGGAAAUUUAUACUCUAAAACGUGUGACGUUAAUUCUAAAUGUGGAGAAAAAUCUGUGUGACCACGGGGAGAGCGACACGCAAACUCCAAUAUACAGGCGUCAAGAUCGGGAUUGAACCUAUGAUCUCCUGUGUACCAGGCAAGGGUGUUAACAUCCCGCCACCGUGUGUGCGUGGGGGAGCGAUAGUGUAGCAGUUAGCGCGCUGCGCUACAAACCCAGCGACCCGAGUUCGAUUCCCGCUCGUGACCAACACCAGUGACGAUUAUUUUUACCUGUCCUGGGCCCUUGUCUGCAUGUGUGUGUGUGAAUGUUGUUGUUUAUUAUUGGGUGCCGCGAGUCGUUAGCGGAAUGGGUGAAAGUGUCCCGUUUGGCGCAGUGGACGGGCGGGGAGAGGAGGGAUCGGGGGCUGGUGGGGGGCGGGCGGGGAGGGUGUGGUGGGGGGGUGAGGGGGGGUCAGUCGUGGAGAGGGAGGGGCCAUCUCAACAGCUCUAUCGCAUCCCCUGUAAUUACCUAAUUAACUCCCAGCCCGCGGGUAAUGGCGCGGCUAAACAGGAGCCGUCAGCCGGAAACUAAAUCACGAGCCAAUAAUGCGCCGCGCGCCGUCGAAGCGGGGGAACGCGCGCCCGGCGCUGGUGGCGGUGGGCGCAGCGCCAAGCGGGGGGGCGGCGCGGCUCACUCGGCUAACCACCGCCACCGCAAGCGCCACUGUUCACCGCCGUCGCUAUUCGCCGCCAAUACCGUCGCCACCUUUCAUCGCCACCACUAUUCACGGCCGAGCCACUGUUCACUGCCAUGACCGCAACUACCGCUGUUUGCCUCGACCGACCGCCACCAACAUGAUGAUGACCACCACCACUACCAUCACCACCAACACAACCGCUACCACCACCGCGACCACCACCGCUAUCACCUUGCUGCCACUGCUGCCACUGCCGCUACUACCGCGACUACAGAGCCAUGUUUGGGAAAUACUGCGUCUACAUGGAAAUUAAACCACCACGGGUUACCCCUGUCCCUAACCCUAGUCCCAUCCUUAACCCUAGCCCUAAACUCUACACCUACCCCUAGCCCCAUCCUUAACCCUACCCCUAAACUCUACACCUACCCCUAGCCCAAUUAGGCGCUCAGCGGUCCCGUGACACUAUUUCUCCGCCUGCCGCCGCUGUCUUGAGCGAGGCGGAGGGAAGUGAGGCCAUGCAGCCCCAUGAGUCCCCGCGACCCCACGUCUGAGCAUCUCCUAUCCCAAUGUCCCUCCGCCCUCAUCUGUCUCCCAACGUCCUCUCAUCCCCGCGUCCCUGCGUCCCAGUGUCCCAGUGUCUCCGUGUCCCUGCGUCCCAGUGUCCCAGUGUCUCCGUGUCCCUGCGUCCCAGUGUCCCAGUGUCUCCGUGUCCCUGCGUCCCAGUGUCCCAGUGUCUCCGUGUCCCUGCGUCCCAGUGUCCCAGUGUCUCCGUGUCCCUGCGUC